UAUACGUGGUGUGGGGAGCUGCAGUGAGUGUGCUGCUCAGGUAGUGUGAGUUAUAGGAGGUGUGGGGAGCUGCAGUGAGCGUGCAGCUCAGGUAGUGUCGGUUAUAGGAGGUGUGGGGAGCUGCAGUGAGCAUUAUAAUUUUUUUCCAUGUAUAAAUUAAUGAGUACCCCUGUCUGCUGUGAAGUAUCAAAAAUCUGAUAUCUAUAGUUUAAUUUGUGUUUUUACAUUUAGGCACAAAUUAUAUCCACGAUGAGCAUCAUUAUUAUACUAUAUAAGUAGGAUGCCAUUUUCCU